GUCUUUUUGUUAAUAAUUUAAGGUUUGGCCUGCUCCAUGAUGAUAUUAAAUAGCCGCAGUAUUUUGACUGUGCAAAGGUAGCAUAAUCAUUAGUUUUUUUAUUGAAAGCUGGAAUGAAUGGUCGGAUGAGAAAGGAUCUGUCUCACUUUAAUUUAGAUUGAAUUUUAUUUUUAAGUUAAAAAGCUUAAAUUUUAUAGAAAGACGAGAAGACCCUAUAGAGUUUAACAGGUUUAAAUUUAAUUAUUAAAGGAUUUGAAUUUAAUUAUUUUUUAAUUUGUUUUGUUGGGGUGACAUAAGAACUGGAAUAACUUCUUAUUAUUUUUACAUUGAUAAAUGAAUUUGAGAUCCUUAUUUUUGGAUUUAAAGAAUAAAUUACCUUAGGGAUAACAGCGUAAUUUUUUUGGAGAGUUCUGAUCGAUAAAAGGGAUUGCGACCUCGAUGUUGGAUUAAAGUUAAAUUUUGGUGCAGAAGCUGAAAUAUUAAGUCUGUUCGACUUUUAAAACUUUACAUGAUCUGAGUUUAAACCGGCGUGAGCCAGGUUGGUUUCUAUCUUUUAUGAAUAAAAUAUUUUAGUACGAAAGGACCAAGUAUUUAAAUAACAUUUUUUAUUUGAAUAUAAUUGUUGCUUUGGCAGAUUAGUGCAAUAGAUUUAGAAUCUUUAUAUGUAGUUGAAUUACAGGUAACAAUUUACUAUAUUGAUUUAAUUUUAUUGUUUACUUUGUCAUUAAUUUUAAUUGUUUGCGUUUUAGUGGGUGUUGCUUUUUUAACCCUUUUGGAGCGGAAAGUUUU
rnacentral:rRNA from 1 species